rnacentral:lncRNA from 1 species
GAGGCUCUUUGCCUUGGUUUUCCCUCCGGCCUCCUCCGCUGACUUCAGGAGGAAGAAGCUGGGUCAACAGAAGCGCCUAGGGCAUCUUCAGAGCUGUGGCUUUUCUUUAGACUGCAGAAGUGAUUUCCAGAGGGAGGGGAUUAUUUCUAUAAUCGAGAGGUCCAGUGUUUGGCUAAAAGUCAUAGAAAAGUAGAGAAAACCUGCAGGACCGGCAAAGGAGCAGAGACCCCGGGAGUCAGUGUCUGAUCCAGGAUCAGAAGCCCUGUGAGAGGAUAUUGUUUCCCUAGACAAAAGAAAACCAGGAGCUGGAUUGUGUGGGGGGAAACAUGGGGCUUUGCAGGAGCCUGACAAGGGUCCAAAAGAGCAGGCCCCAGAAAGGCUACUUUUCCUUUGUUCCUUUGGUUCACUGUGUUUCUCUUCUAAGCUCUGGUUGAGCUUCAUUCAGUCCACAGCCUGGGAUAAGGUACCAGGCUAGCCCAGCAGUCUCAGAGGGCAACAGGGAAGGAAGAGUAGGUGAGCUAUGGGAAGAAUCAAUCACACAGAAGUGCAUUUCUGGGAAGCAGAUGGUCAGAUUGUAUCUUGCUAAGGCAUGUUACAAUGGUUUUCCCUUAACAAACGGAAGUGAGUCCCCAUCCCACUGGAAAUGUUCAUUCACUUCUCUGUCUCUUUCUCCCUUUUUAGAGCCAGGGUAGGGGACCCUGCCCCUAUCCCCAUGGGAGCACAGUGUGCUGUGACCUGUCCUGGCCAACACCAGAAAGACAGUUUAUAAGUGGUGCCUUGGGUGUCAUCAGGGUGACCUUUGGGUUUGUCUUUGGGGACCCACUGUGAAAGCUAGCCUGUUACUGGCAUGGCACAGAGACGGUAAUAAAGACACCGACCGGAAUGAUACUGUCAUUUACUGUUGCCAGAAAAAAAAAGUCCCCACCAUUUUUGUUUUUGUAUUUGUUUUUGUUUUGAAGCAGCUGAUAGAACAGACAGGAAGGAAACUUUAAUAACCCUUUCCUCAAGGAAUGAGGCUGGGCCUCCCCUGGGUUGCAGGUCUGAGCCACACACUCCUAAUCCCAGGUAGUCUCUGGGCCCCUGGCUUUCACUUUCCUUGACUGUUCCAGCAAAGGAAGUUUGUUAACGGAAGUACCUGAAAUCAU